CUUUCCCCCUCUUCAUCUUCUUUUUUUUCUUUUCCUCUCUUCCUUCUCUUCUCACAAGUCUUGCUUAAGAACAAAGUAUCCAACCAAUCUAUAGGAUCCCAACGCAUCAACCUGUAGGAUCCCAAUCCAUCAACCCUCAUUCCCAACGGCUGCUUCCUCCCUACAUCGUAAUUCCUCGCAUGCUCGAAUCAAAUCCCUUUGUUCUUGGACAAUGAAAAAAAUUGUCAACAACCAUGGCCUGAUUUAACAUCCAAAUCCUCCC
rnacentral:lncRNA from 1 species